rnacentral:rRNA from 1 species
CGUUAGGGGUACUGCGGAGGUCAUUA